GAUCUGCUCCCGGACUCCUUCAGCGCGCUGCCUGCCUGCCCAGGGCCUUCCCGGAGAGCAGGUGACGGCGGCCUCCGGGCAUGGAGCUCGCGCUGACGAAAGGUUCUGGAAGCCGCCGUAAAAAGUAAUCAAGAAACGGGUGACAGGACUUUUCGAACAAGGUCUCACCAUGCUGCCCAAGCUGGUCUGAAAACUCUUGUCCUCAGGCAGUCCUCCCACCUCGGCCUCCCAAAGAUCUGAGAUUACAGGCAUGAGCCACCACACCUGGCCUUGGUUUUAAUUCCUGUCACAGUAUAUUAGUUUUCGCUGUUGUGUAUUGAUUGAUUGAGACAGGGUCUCGCUCUGUUGCCCAGGCUGGAGUGCAGGGGCAUGAUCCCAGCUCACUGCAACCUCCACCUCUUGGAUUCAAGUGAUUCUCCCGUCUCAGCCUCCCGAGUAACAGGAACCACAGGUGUGUGCCAGCACGCCUGGCUAAUUUUUUUUUUUUUUUUCUUGAGGUGGAGUUUCACUGUUGUUGCCCAGGUUGGAGUGCAGUGGCACAAUCUCAGCUCACUGCAACCUCUGCCUCCUGGGUUCAAGUGAUUCUCCUGCUUCAGCCUCACGAGUUGUUGGGAUUACAGGCGCCCGCCACCACGCCCAGGUAAUUUUUGUUUAGUAGAGACGGGGUUUCACCAUGUUGGCCUGGCUGGUCUCGAACUCCUGACCUCAGGUGAUCCACCCACCUCGGCCUCCCAAAGUUGUGGGAUUGCAGGCGUGAGCCACUGCGCCUGGCCUAAUUUUUCAAUUUUUUGGUGGAGAUAGGGUUUCACCAUGUUGGCCAGGCUGGAGUUUUGCCUGUUCUAGAAGCUUGUAUCAGUCAUACAACACCCCUUUGAGGAACCGUUUGAGGUGUGGCACGAUACAGCAAGUCAGCUGCCAAAGAGGGGCUUAGCCACAGGAAGUGCGUGCCCAGAACGGUAAAGGGGCUGUGGCCUUUCUUAUCAUCUCCACUCCCUGUCCCCCCCAUCACCUGCUCUUCGUGCUUUGUGAUAAUUCAGUGAGCUCAUACUCAUGACCUGUGUCCUCCAGCAUCUCCCGUGUCCCUCACAGCAGUUCUAUGAGGCUGGCUGCCCUGUUUGACAACUGAGGCCCGCAUCUUCCCCGGAAUCACCGACGUGUGGCUCUGAGCCCUGUCCCAGGGAUUUUCUCCAUCAGAGAAGAGGAGCACUUUGAGCUUUGAGAGGAGCAGCCCUCUGCAAGUGAAGUGGAAAAAAAGGAAGCAGGCGAGGAGGCCCAUCCAGACCCUCCCCCAAGACCCUUGCUGAAAUGGCUGGGAUGCGGCGUGCAGAAGCUCUCCUUUCCUUCACAGCCCCUGGCUUUCCAAGAGUCCCUGCCCACCCAGAUGCCCGCUGGCAGAUGCAGCCUCAUCUCAAGGACACUGCUUGCUGGAUAAAUCCCUCACCACCCUAGAGACAGCCCACGGUCCUGAGACAAGGAUGCGGGCCAGGCUUGUUGCACGUAAGCGCCUCCCGCAGAAACCAGUGAGGCCGGAGUUCCAGAGGAAAUGAUGUAGGGACAGAGGCAGAGGGCCUCCAGGAGGCACCAGCCCCAGAGUCUUCCCUAGAAUCAGACUUUAAGCACAAGCAGGGAGGGAAAGCACUUGAGCAGUGCCCGUCCCUGCAUACCUGGCCUCUGCUGGAACCCAUGCAGGGACAGGACACUUCUUUAUCAGCAAUCCUGUUCCUCUCCUGGGCAGCUUCAACCUGAACAUCCUCCUUCACCUUGAGCUAAAAUGGGUUUCUUGUCACCCUUGCCCAUCAAACCUGGCCUUGCCCUCAGGAACCACACAGGACAAGCCUAAUACUUCCUUCUUGUGGCAACACUUUAGCAAUUGAGACCUGGCUGUCAGGUCCUCCAAAUAAACAUUUGUGACUGUGAUGUUGACUUGCCGCUUCUGGGGACCUCUUCUCAUUUGAUCGGAGAAAGUUUUUCAGGGUUAAACCUACUUCUUUCCCCCAAGAAACUCUUCUUGUCAGGCUCACGCCUAUAAUCCUGGCACUUUGGGAGGCCAAGGCAGGAGGAUUGUUUGAGACCAGCCUGGGCAACGUAGGUAGACUAUGUUGCU
rnacentral:lncRNA from 1 species